rnacentral:rRNA from 1 species
GCUUAUCACCAUUCCAGAUUGAAUAUACCCGAUCUCGUUUGGUCUCGGAAGUCAAGCAAUCUCUGGCUUGGUUAGUACUUGGAUGGGUGACCGCUUGGGAAUACCAAGUGUGAUAAACA